rnacentral:rRNA from 1 species
GCUCUCGCUAUUGGAUGAGCCUAUGUCAGAUUAGCUAGUUGGUGAGGUAAAGGCUCACCAAGGCAACGAUCUGUAGCUGGUCUGAGAGGAUGAUCAGCCACAUCGGGACUGAGACACGGCCCGGACUCCUACGGGAGGCAGCAGUGGGGAAUAUUGGACAAUGGGGGCAACCCUGAUCCAGCCAUGCCGCGUGUGUGAAGAAGGCCUUCGGGUUGUAAAGCACUUUCAAUGAGGAAGAAGGCUUAAUGGUUAAUACCCAUUAAGAUAGACAUCACUUGCAGAAGAAGCACCGGCUAACUCCGUGCCAGCAGCCGCGGUAAUACGGAGGGUGCAAGCGUUAAUCGGAAUUACUGGGCGUAAAGCGCGCGUAGGUGGAUGAAUAAGUCAGAUGUGAAAGCCCCGGGCUCAACCUGGGAACGGCAUCUGGAACUGUCCGGCUAGAGUGCAGGAGAGGAAGGUGGAAUUCCCGGUGUAGCGGUGAAAUGCGUAGAGAUCGGGAGGAACACCAGUGGCGAAGGCGGCCUCCUGGACUGACACUGACACUGAGGUGCGAAAGCGUGGGUAGCAAACAGGAUUAGAUACCCUGGUAGUCCACGCCGUAAACGAUGUCUACCAGCCGUUGGGUGUCUAACACUAUUUGUGGCCAAAUUUACGCCAUUAAUCAACCGCCCGGGGAAUACCGGCCCCAGGGUAAAACUCCAAUGAAUUGGCCGGGGCCCCCACCAGCCGUGGAACCUGGGGUUUAAUUCCAUGCCACGCCAAAAACCUUACCUACGCCUGACCUCCACAAAAACUUGAAGAAAUUGUGGUGUGCCCUCCGGAACUGCUAAACAGGUGCUGCCUGGCUGGCCUCCGCUCCUGGUGUGAAAUGGUGGGUUAAGUCCCGUAACCAACGCCACCCCUGUCCCUAUUUGCCAACCAUUAAUGUCAGAAACUCUAAGGAAACUGCCGGGAACAAACCGAAGGAAGGGGGGAACAACUUCAAGUCUUCAGGGCCCUUCGAGCUGGGGCUACACACGUGCUACAAGGGCCGGUACAAAGGGCUGCGACCUCGCGAGAGUCAGCAAAUCCCUUAAACUGUGUCUCAUUCCGGAUGUUAGUCUGCAACUCGAAUCCUUGAAUCCGGAAUCCCUAGUAAUCGUGGAUCAGAAUGUCACGGUGAAUACUUUCCCGGGGCUUGUACACACCGCCCGUCACACAUGGGGAGUGUUUGCACCA